rnacentral:lncRNA from 1 species
GACGAGGGCGGGGAGGAGUUUGCGAUGGGAGGCGCCUGCAGGGGCUCCCCCAGUUCUGCGCUGUGAGCCGGGGCACAAAGAGCUCUCUGCACUGGCGCCGCAAGACCGCGGACCCGAGCUGGAGGCAUCUCCCUGCCUACCCGUAUGGUUCCAGACACAUUCAUGUGGCCGCCGUGACCCUACCAGCAUCAAAGGAGUAAUCAAGAGUGCAAGCAAGUUUCUGAGACAGAGGAGAAGGAAGGGAAUUUCCGGGUUCUUGGAGAUGUUCAGGACCACACUGGGAAGCAGCCUUGCAGAUAAGUAUUCAAACUUCCCAGCCCACAGCCUACCAGCCUGCCCUCUACUGGUCCAUGGAGCAAAGUACAGCAUCCCUGAAUCCCCAAGUCCAGGGGGAAAUCGGCGCUCCAGCUCUUUUGCUUUCCUAUCCCUAAGACACAAAGAAAAAGCUUGUCCCCAUUUUAUGGGGCCCCAGAGAGUAAUUUUCCUACCCCACUUUUGACAUCAAGGCUAGUAUUUUACAAACUCCACCCUCAGGGACUUCUGAGGAGCUGAGUUUAGUAACUUCAUCUUGAGAACCUGUAGAUCUGGUGUCAGGAGGAGACUGGGGACUCCUGGUGGUUUGGGCUGGCCCUUCCCUUCUUGGUUCUUGUCCUCUGUCAUCAUAUUUAUAAAACUUGGCUAGGGCUCCUUUUCUUGCCUGGCAGUCAAGUGGGGACCUCAGCACUGUGACCCCUGGGCACGUGCUUCUUGGUUUAAGGGUCUGAGUACCUCUCCUGCUCUGGGCCCGGGCCCCCAAGUCCAGGUGCUGACAGCAAGCUCUGAAGAUGCGGUGAACGGGCCGGGCCUGCCAGUGGGUGAAGAUAACCUUGUCACUGUUUGUUGUUUAGUCCCUGAGUCGUGUCUGAUGCUUUGCCAUCCCAUGGACUGUACCUCCUCUGUCCAUGGGAUUUUCCAGGCAAGAAUACUGGAGUGGGUUGCCAUUUCCUUUUUCAGGGAAUCCUCCUGACCCAGGGAUCCAACCUGCAUCUCGUCUCCUGCAUUAGCAGGCGGAUUCUUUACCACUGAGCCACCAGGGAAGCCCUAAGAUAGCUUAGCUGUCACCAGAAAAGCCUGGGAGAUGGUCCUGGCCCAGGAUUUGUGGGCAUUCUCUGGUCUUCUCCACACUGCAGACAUGGGGAUGUAGCUAAAGAGCCCCAGCCCACCAUCUGGCUCCCCACGUUUUCUUUUUCUGGGGCAUCAGAAAAGAGGAUAGGAGAUGAGAGUGGGGGGAGUUGGGUAGAAAGAUAACUGAGGUUGGGCCUUCUGCUUCCCAUCCUCUGCCUCAAGCUGCAGGUAGUUACUGCACUUCGGGGGAAUGUCUGGACUGGGAGGACCCUGGGACCUGGAGGGAGGGGCCGCCGGUCCAGCGUGACCCAGGAUAGCGGAGCUGGGAUCAGAUGUCCGGCUUCUCGCCCUGCUCCACGCUCUCACUCAACCUGAGCUUGCCCUGCUCUCUCCGG